CCUACGGGAGGCAGCAGUGGGGAAUAUUGCGCAAUGGGCGCAAGCCUGACCCAGCAACGCCGCGUGAAGGAAGAAGGCUUUCGGGUUGUAAACUUCUGUUCUCAGGGACGAAGAAAGUGACGGUACCUUAGUAAUAAGCCACGGCUAACUACGUGCCAGCAGCCGCGGUAAUACGUAGGUGGCAAGCGUUAUUCGGAUUUACUGGGUGUAAAGGGCGGGUAGGCGGGAAAGCAAGUCAUAUGUGAAAACCAUGGGCUCAACCUGUGGACUGCAUUUGAAACUGUUUUACUGGAGUACUGGAGAGGCAGAUGGAAUUCCUAGUGUAGGGGUGAAAUGCGUAGAUAUUAGGAGGAACACCAGUGGCGAAGGCGGUCUGCUGGCCAGCAACUGACGCUGAGGCGCGAAAGCGUGGGGAGCAAACAGGAUUAGAUACCCGUGUAGUC
rnacentral:rRNA from 1 species